rnacentral:rRNA from 1 species
GUGGGGAAUCUUAGACAAUGGGGGAAACCCUGAUCUAGCCAUGCCGCGUGAGCGAUGAAGGCCUUAGGGUUGUAAAGCUCUUUCAGCUGGGAAGAUAAUGACGGUACCAGCAGAAGAAGCCCCGGCUAACUCCGUGCCAGCAGCCGCGGUAAUACGGAGGGGGCUAGCGUUGUUCGGAAUUACUGGGCGUAAAGCGCACGUAGGCGGAUCAGAAAGUCAGAGGUGAAAUCCCAGGGCUCAACCUUGGAACUGCCUUUGAAACUCCUGGUCUUGAGGUCGAGAGAGGUGAGUGGAAUUCCGAGUGUAGAGGUGAAAUUCGUAGAUAUUCGGAGGAACACCAGUGGCGAAGGCGGCUCACUGGCUCGAUACUGACGCUGAGGUGCGAAAGCGUGGGGAGCAAACAGGAUUAGAAACCCUUGUAGUCC